rnacentral:rRNA from 1 species
GCAAGUCGAACGAGAAAGGGACUUCGGUCCUGAGUAGAGUGGCGCACGGGUGAGUAACACGUGGAUAACCUGCCCUAUAAUCUGGGAUAACAUUUCGAAAGGGAUGCUAAUACCGGAUAAGCCCACGCUCUCUUCGGAGAAAGUGGGAAAAGAUUUAUCGUCAUAGGAUGGGUCCGCGGUCCAUUAGCUAGUUGGUGGGGUAAUGGCCUACCAAGGCUUCGAUGGAUAGCUGGUCUGAGAGGAUGAUC